CCUACGGGAGGCAGCAGUAAGGAAUAUUGGUCAAUGGAGGCAACUCUGAACCAGCCAUGCCGCGUGCAGGAAGAAGGCCCUAUGGGUCGUAAACUGCUUUUGUACCAGAGAAAACCCGAGUACGUGUACUCGGUUGAUAGUAUGGUAAGAAUAAGCAUCGGCUAACUUCGUGCCAGCAGCCGCGGUAAGACGAAGGAUGCAAGCGUUAUCCGGAUUCAUUGGGUUUAAAGGGUGCGUAGGCGGACUGAUAAGUCAGUGGUGAAAUCUCUCAGCUUAACUGAGAAACUGCCAUUGAUACUGUUAGUCUAGAGUAUAGAUGACGUUGGCGGAAUAUGACAUGUAGUGGUGAAAUACUUAGAUAUGUCAUAGAACACCGAUUGCGAAGGCAGCUAACGAAACUAUAACUGACGCUGAGGCACGAAAGUGCGGGGAUCAAACAGGAUUAGAUACCCUGGUAGUCCGCACCGUAAACGAUGAUUACUCGUUGUUGGCAAUAUGACCGUCAGCGACCAAGCGAAAGCGAUAAGAAUCCACCUGGGGGUACGCCGGCAACGGUGAAACUCAAAGGAAUUGACGGCUGAGACGNGCGAGGACGACGACGAGGGAGAGG
rnacentral:rRNA from 1 species